AUGCAAGAGCUUCCCUCAAAAAAAAAAGAAUGCAAGAGCUACGUUUAUGUUUGUUACAAUAACGGCGAUGGUUUAUUCUAUGCUCUUCGAGGUUGUGGUGAUGUGCAUACCAUUGAUCUCUGUGGACAAUAUCCACUGGUCAAUAUUGUCUACAAGCACAAGGCGGAUUAUGAUACCGAGAGUAAGUAUAUUGUACAAGCGUCAUGGGGUGAUUUCUUUCAGAUAUGGAGAUGGGAUCUAUAUCUCGAGGAUGACGAGGAGGUGGUGGAGGACAACAACGAUAAUGAUGUCGAUGAGGGUGUGGACAAUGCAGAUGUUCUUGUGGAGGAGCGGAACAUGGAGGACGGUGACGAGAAAGAGCGUGUGACAGCCCGCUUUGUUGUCUACAAAAUCGACUUUGUCAAACAAAAGCUCACCAAAGUACACAAUCUCAAAGAUCACACACUGUUCACGGGUUUCAACACUUCAUUUUUAGUUCUGGCGAAGGACUUCCCCGCAUUAAUACCCAAUAGCAUCUACCAUACAGAUGACUUGAAUCAUAAUACUUCCUCCAAGAGAUUUUCAGAUAGACGGGCUUUGAUUGACAAGGGCCUUCGGCAGGUUUUCAUCUUCAAUAUGGAAGAUUGUAGUUUCACGAAUAUACUGGCUCCCCAUUCUUCAAGAUUGAAUUGGCCCCCACCAGUUUGGUUCCUGCUAUAA
rnacentral:rRNA from 1 species